rnacentral:rRNA from 1 species
CGCCGGGUGCACUUUCUGCCGGCCGAGCGCCACGACCGGCUCCCGGCCGGCCAGAGCCCGGCGAGGAAGGUGUGCGGGCGCUCUCCCCUCGUGGGGUCGUCCGCCGUUACAGCCUCGCCGCGGAUCGGGCCCGGCUCGGGGGCCGAGGAACAUCCGCGCUUCGUCUGGGGCCGUCGUUCCGAGGGUGGGGUCACCGACCGGCGGGGACUGGGCAACCGUGCCCGCCGACCGCCCCCGCCUUGCGGAGCGGCGCGCCCCGGGGCGCUUC